UUUAUAGAAAAUGGUACUAAUUUUAUUUCAUUUUUUGCUGCUGGCAUUUUUUAUUUGAAAUAUCUUUGUAUGUGGACUAUGUUAUGUGAAACAUGCGUUUAUAUAGGCUGAUGUACAACUGAAUGAAUGGAUAAUUGUUAUUAUGAGUCGGAUGUCCUGUUUUUCUAGUGAAAGAAGUCGAAAUAUGUGAUAUGGCCUAGACGUUGCCGCGUUUUCCCGCCAAAUUUACCUUAGCAACAAGUAGCCCCGCCCCUUGCAGCAUCUAUAAUUAAUGAAAGAGUAUGAUUAUACCAGAAGGUUGAGUUUGAGACAAUCACUGAUAUGAAGAUAUACAUUGACAAUAAGAAUGAAAUUUAAAUAUGCAUUGACUAAUUCUUGAUAAUAGCUCAUUUGCACAAGUGUUUCCAUCCUUGAAGUUGAUUGGCUCACGCACGAGCAGCGCUUUGUUCUGAUUGGUCCACGUGUACUCUGCAUUAUGAUUGGCUGCGAAAGCCUGUGUUAGGCGCCAUUACCACUUGGAGGAGGGUUUUUGUUGACGGACACGCUCAUAGAAAUUGCAUUUGUGCAGUGACAUUCUUAUUAACGCCAGUAUUUCUGGGAAGAGCUGGCAGUUAAAGUGUUAAAGAACUUUUGAAGUCAUAGUGAUAACCCCAAAGACUUCAGUGUAGUCUGGGAAAGAACACUGGAGUUGGGCUUGUCACCUUGCAGAGUGAUUUCUACCUUCACAUGGUCUUCGCAUUGAUGCAAGGGUGCAGGCUGGCUACCUGUCAUGAGAUGGUGUACCUGUCGUGACGUAACGUGCCUGUGGUGAUGAGGUGGUAAUGUGAAGCGUCAGUGCUACCUGCUUUGGGAUACGAUCUCGAAUGUCUCCAGGAAAGGAUUAAACCGUGUGCAAGAA
rnacentral:lncRNA from 1 species